rnacentral:rRNA from 1 species
UACGGGGGGGGCAAGCGUUGUUCGGAAUUACUGGGCGUAAAGCGCACGUAGGCGGGUUAUUAAGUCAGGGGUGAAAUCCCGGAGCUCAACUCCGGAACUGCCUUUGAUACUGGUAAUCUAGAGAUCGGAAGAGGUUAGUGGAAUUCCCAGUGUAGAGGUGAAAUUCGUAGAUAUUGGGAAGAACACCAGUGGCGAAGGCGGCUAACUGGUCCGAUACUGACGCUGAGGUGCGAAAGCGUGGGGAGCAAACAGG